AUGGUUCAGCCCACUCAGGUUCAGAUUCAGGUGUUGUCUGUCCCCCGCCUGGCACCUGGUCACAGCACGAUGGUGGACUUUGACAUCCUGAAUCAUGGCCCGGCCCGACUCUUCAGUCUGACGGCUGAUGACGACUGUGGAUAUCUUCAUAAGAGGGGACCUCACAGGUUCCAUGUUGCAGAACAAGGGUCUUUCCGCGGUCAGGUGGACCUUCUCACUCCUGCCACAGCUCAGGCAGGAGCGACUGUCACCCUUACACUCACAGUGCGCGCUCUGGACUCUCCAGACUCAAAUUACGCAGUGGCCUACUUGACUGUGAUCCCUCCGGAUCCUGACACGUCCCCACCAUCCUGCUCCGCUGCACGAGUACAGUCUACCUGUCCUUCCGUUUGCAACGAGUCAAGCUGGAGCGUAUCUCUAGUGGUGUCAGACAGGGGCCGCUCCGGCCUCGCCGCCCUGCAGCUACAGAAGGGUGAAGGCAUUCUGACUUUAUUCCACAGCCCCCCACCCACAGAGGAGAGCCUGGAAGAGUCCCAGCAACAGGCACACGGGGACAAGACAACCAGCGGAGGCCACCACCACCAUCACCACCACAAAGCCAGAUUAGAGAAAGGAGACGCCCCUUUGAAUGUAUCUGAAUGGGUACCGGGAUCAUCUCAGCCACUGUGGGCGAGGUACACAUCCAGUUGCUGCUCUGCUCAGGCUGAGCUGCUGGUGUGGGACACAGCUGGAAACAUGAAGCGCUGCCAUCUAACGUCUGGUCAGAAGACGCAUCUAAGAGACACGAGAACAGAAACCAGUGGAGCCGGACGGAUUACACUCACAGGCCUCUUGUUCUUGUUGUUAGGUCUGCUGUGGUCUUCUCUGCUUUAGCUCGAUGGGAUUACAGAUGUUUUGCAGGUCAAACACUGGAUACCAGCCGCCCACAUAAAGAGCUGCACAAAAGAGAAACAAAAGGACAAAGAGAUAAAACUGAAAAAACUAAUUUAGUUUGAAAUAAGUGCACUUAAUGCAAAGAAAGAUGUCUUUCUUAGUUGAUGAUUAUGUGUUUGCCACUGUAAUUUGUAAAGAAGGGGCACUGAAUAAAACAUUUAUAUUGUAUUAUUACUGUCAGUAACUUGAAUUAUUUGCAGUUGCAACUUCUGACAUGUUAAGCCAGAUCAAAUGUUUCUAAUACUAUGAUUUUACGAGUCACCCCAAGUCUAGUCUUGUACCAUUUCUGCUAUCAUCGAUGACUUUAAGUUAGAAAAGAAGAAAAAAGUCUUCCCUCCAGGCCACAGGUGAAGUUCGGACAUCUUCCUCUAACACUUUAAAACUAAUAAGCUUUAGAUGCUCUGGUUGUUUUUUCCCCUUCUACCUCUGAAUUAGCACCUGGAGUUUCCUGACAUAAGGUUUUUAGAGGGUGUCUUCAGAAUAGUUUAGGUCUGUCGUGCCCUUUUCACAGGCGCAUGUCCUUAGCUCCUCCUUGACAUGCUAAGGGUUCUUCCCGCCUCCCCUAGAACCUCAUACAUGGGUUGACCGGGGGCCGUACCUUCUCUGUCCGCUGCCUCCGCCUUUUUCCAAACAUCUGAACUUUCACUGAACUAUGACGUCAUCUCUGCUCCUCCUCAC
ensembl:lncRNA